AAUAAAUUUUUUAUGGUUUAGAAAAUUUAUAAUAAGUUUGUUUUACAUGUAAAUUUUAGUGUUAGUUUUUAAUUAUUUAAAUAAUAAUUAAUUUAUUAAUAGUAGUAAUUAAUAUUAAAAAUUUAAGAAAUUAAGAUUUAGCAUUAUAAUAAUUAUUAACUAAUUUUGUGCCAGCAGUUGCGGUUAAACAAGGAAUAAGUUGAAUUUUUUUAGUAAUUAAUUAAUAUUUUAAUAAUUUAGUUUAAAAUUUAAAUUAUUAAGUGAAAUUUUAAUUCAAUAAANNNNNNNNNNNNNNNNNNNNNNNNNNNNNNNNNNNNNAAACUAGGAUUAGAUACCCUAUUAUUAAAAAAAUAAAUAAAAAAUACUAAAAUAGUAGAUAAUUUAUUGAAACUUAAAUAAAUUGGCGGUAUUUUAGUUCAUUCAGAGGAAUCUGUUUAUUAAUUGAUAAUCCACGAAUAAAUUUACUUAAUUUAUUAUUUUGUAUAUCGUUGUUAAAAAAAUAUUUUUUAAUAAAAAUAAUAUUUUAAAAUUUUUAUUAAAAAUUAAAUCAGAUCAAGAUGCAGAUUAUAAUUAAGAAUAUAAUGGAUUACAAUAAAUUUAUUUAUUUAUGGAUGUUAAAUUGAAAUAUUUAACUAAAAGUGGAUUUGAAUGUAAUUUUAUUUAAAUUAAUAAAAUGAUUAAUAAUUAAAAUAUGUACAUAUUGCCCGUCGCUUUCAUAAAUAAAUUGAAAUAAGUCGUAACAAAGUAGAGGUACUGGAAAGUGUUUCUAGAAAGAA
rnacentral:ncRNA from 1 species